UCAAGUGACUAAGUGCAUGUGGCGGAUGCCUUGGCGAUCACAGGCGAAGAAAGACGCGGCAGCCUGCGAAAAGCUGCGGGGAGCUGGCAAACGAGCUUUGAUCCGCAGAUAUCUGAAUGGGGGAACCCACACCGCAAGGUGUAUCCGUAGCUGAAUACAUAGGUUACGGAGGCGAACGAGGAGAACUGAAACAUCUAAGUAUCCUCAGGAAAAGAAAUCAACCGAGAUUCCGGCAGUAGCGGCGAGCGAACCCGGAGGAGCCUAGCUUUUGAUAGUACGAACUUUAGCCGAAAGGUCCUGGAAAGGCCUGCUAUAGUGGGUGAUAGCCCCGUAGGCGAAAGAGUUGGUACGGUACUAAGGAAGCGAGAAGUAGAGCGGGACACGUGGAAUCCUGUUCGAAGACGGGGGGACCAUCCUCCAAGGCUAAAUACUCGUGAUCGACCGAUAGUGAACCAGUACCGUGAGGGAAAGGCGAAAAGAACCCCGGGAGGGGAGUGAAAUAGAACCUGAAACCGCAUGCAUACAAACAGUAGGAGCCUCGUCAGAGGUGACUGCGUACCUUUUGCAUAAUGGGUCAGCGACUUACAUUCUGUGGCGAGCUUAACCGAAUAGGGGAGGCGCAGCGAAAGCGAGUUCGAAAUGAGCGUUCAGUCGCAGGGUGUAGACCCGAAACCAGAUGAGCUAUCCAUGGCCAGGUUGAAGGUGUGGUAACACACACUGGAGGACCGAACCGACUAGUGUUGCAAAAUUAGCGGAUGAGCUGUGGAUAGGGGUGAAAGGCCAAACAAAUCUGGAGAUAGCUGGUUCUCCCCGAAAACUAUUGAGGUAGUGCCUCGUGUGUCGCUCCAGGGGGUAGAGCACUGUUUUGGCUAGGGGGACAUGGAGUCUUACCAAACCAAGGCAAACUCCGAAUACCUGGAAGCGUAAGCACGGGAGACAGAGCACCGGGUGCUAACGUCCGGACUCAAAAGGGAAACAACCCAGACCGCCGGCUAAGGUCCCAAAUAACAGCUAAGUGGAAAACGAAGUGGAAAGGCCGUGACAACCAGGAAGUUGGCUUAGAAGCAGCCAUCCUUCAAAGAAAGCGUAAUAGCUCACUGGUCGAGUCCUUCUGCGCGGAAGAUGUAACGGGGCUAAGCUGUUAACCGAAGCCGCGGAUGCACUGGUUAUCCAGUGCGUGGUAGGGGAGCGUUCUGUAAGUCUGCGAAGGCGGUUCGAGAGGACUGCUGGAGAUAUCAGAAGUGCGAAUGCUGACAUGAGUAACGUUAAAGCAGGUGAAAAGCCUGCUCGCCGUAAGCCCAAGGAUUCCUGCUCUACGUUCAUCGGAGCAGGGUGAGUCGGCUCCUAAGGUCAGGCCGAAAGGCGUAGCCGAUGGGAAUCAGGUUAAUAUUCCUGAACCUGCGUCAGAUGCGAUGGGGGGACGGAGCAUGGAAGAUCAUCCGGGUGUUGGAAGUCCCGGUUGUUGAGCGUAGGAGGUCUGCAGGCAAAUCCGCAGACGCAUCUCCAAGGCAAAGACACGUGCCGCCACGGCGGCGAAGUGAUCGGAAGUGCUUCCAAGAAAAGCCUCUAAGCCCCAGUCUGACGCGGACCGUACCGCAAACCGACACUGGUGGGCGAGCUGAAUAUGCUCAGGCGCUUGAGAGAACUCGGGAGAAGGAACUCGGCAAAUUGACACCGUAACUUCGGAAGAAGGUGUGCCGUAGUACCGUGAGAGGAGAGACACCUUGAGCGGGAAACGGUCUCAGAGAAUAGGUGGCUGCGACUGUUUAUUAAAAACACAGCACUCUGCAAAGUCGAAAGACGACGUAUAGGGUGUGAUGCCUGCCCGGUGCUGGAAGAUUAAUUGAUGGGGUGAGAGCCCUUGAUCGAAGUCCCAGUAAACGGCGGCCGUAACUAUAACGGUCCUAAGGUAGCGAAAUUCCUUGUCGGGUAAGUUCCGACCUGCACGA
rnacentral:rRNA from 1 species